rnacentral:rRNA from 1 species
UACGUAGGGUGCAAGCGUUGUCCGGAAUUAUUGGGCGUAAAGAGCUCGUAGGCGGUUUGUCGCGUCUGCUGUGAAAACUCGGGGCUCAACUCCGAGCUUGCAGUGGGUACGGGCAGACUAGAGUGCGGUAGGGGAGACUGGAAUUCCUGGUGUAGCGGUGGAAUGCGCAGAUAUCAGGAGGAACACCGGUGGCGAAGGCGGGUCUCUGGGCAACAACUGACGCUGAGGAGCGAAAGCGUGGGGAGCGAACAGG